UAGAGUGUAACAUGUGGUGUGAUUUAUAUGACCUAAAUAACAUUUUUUAUUCUCUUUUUUUUUUAUUAAAGGAAAAUUAACCUAAUCUUAUAUGAAUCUAAAAAAUCAAAAUGCGUUGCUUUAAACAUGAGAUAUGUAUGGACUUAAAUACCUAAGUUCUAUAAUGCAUGAUAUAUAAUGAACAAAUAACGAUGACAUGCCAAAAAAAUCCAUCCAUGUAAAUCAAUGGCAUAUUAUUUUAAUGUGAAUCAAUGAUGCAAAGCAAUUCAUGAAUUUACCAUGAAAAGUCAAAAUAAGCAAAAAUCUAAGCCGACGUCUCGCGGCUCAAUAUUUUUGAUUAUUAUGACUUAAUAUGACAAAUUUCAUAAUUGGAUAAUGAUAAAAACAAAACAAAUCAAGUCAAUUCCACAAGCUAAAAAAUCCAAAUAAUAGCUGAAUUUAACCUAAAAUUUUACCUAGCUUGGAAAAUUAUCUCCAAGAUGAAAACCAGCAAGGAACAUUCCAAAUUCACCCUUCUCAAGCUUCAAGUGACCUGCACAAGGAAAAUGGUACCAACGGUACUGAACUUGCUG
rnacentral:lncRNA from 1 species